UACAUAGGUCGCAAGCGUUAUCCGGAAUUAUUGGGCGUAAAGCGUUCGUAGGCUGUUUAUUAAGUCUGGAGUCAAAUCCCAGGGCUCAACCCUGGCUCGCUUUGGAUACUGGUAAACUAGAGUUAGAUAGAGGUAAGCGGAAUUCCAUGUGGAGCGGUGAAAUGCGUAGAUAUAUGGAAGAACACCAAAGGCGAAGGCAGCUUACUGGGUCUAUACUGACGCUGAGGGACGAAAGCGUGGGGAGC
rnacentral:rRNA from 1 species